rnacentral:tRNA from 3 species
ACCCCGUUGGCGCAAUGGUAGCGCGUCAGCCUCCUAAGCUGAAGGUUGCGGGUUCGAGUCCCGUGCGGGGUU